GGAGGGAUCCUUGCUGGUACGAUCAUACCAGAUCCCAUCAUAGCUCCGCAGUUAAGCGCGCUCGGGCUAGAGUAGUACCGGGAUGGGUGACCUCCCGGGAAGUCCUAGUGUUGCAUCGU
rnacentral:rRNA from 1 species